rnacentral:rRNA from 1 species
UACGGAGGGAGCGAACGUUGUUCGGAUUUACUGGGUGUAAAGGGUGCGUAGGCGGCCCUGUGUGUCGGAGGUGAAAUCCAGCGGCUCAACCGCUGGCCUGCCCCCGAAACUGCAGGGCUUGAGUCCGUGAGAGGAAGGCGGAAUUCCUGGUGUAACGGUGAAAUGUGCAGAUAUCAGGAAGAACACCCGUAGCGAAGGCGGCCUUCUGGUGCGGUACUGACGCUGAGGCACGAAAGCUAGGGUAUCGAACGGG